rnacentral:lncRNA from 1 species
CAAAAUCUAUGCAGCAAUGAUGAUCAUGGACUACUAUAAGCAGAGUAAGGUGAAGAAGCAGAGGCAGCAGCUGGAGGAACAGGUGAAAGUCAAUGCCAGCAUGCUAAGUGGGUGGGCCAUGAGGAGUUGCAGGAGGGAAUAGGCCUGUGCCUCCCUUCAAAAAUACUUCCUUGGUUUCCUGAUCCCUCUCACUAAUUUUAAUACAUAGUCAUGGUCCGUCAGGAAAAUCCAUUCUGGUAGUUUAGCCAGUUGCCCUGGGCAUGCACGACUGCCAAACAAGAAUGACAGAACCUUAGAGAUCUCCAGUCCAACCUGAUAACACUGUAGGCUGGCACAGUCCAAAACAAUAGCUCUUAGCCACAUGUGGCUAGUCCAGAUAAAAUAUAAACUAUCUAAUUUUUAUAUUGAUUACAUGUUGACAUGCUAAUAUUUGGAUAUAUUCAGCUAAAUUAAAUGUUAUUAAAUUUCACCUUUUACAACAUAGUUACUUGGACAUUUAAAAUUCUGCAAGUGGCUUGCAUCAUCCUUCCAU